rnacentral:lncRNA from 1 species
GAUAACAAAGCUGGAGCUAGAAGGAGGACUGGAAUUAGGGUUUUCGUGUGACUGGUUAUAUCGGGUUUGAGAAAGGGUUUUGAUCAAGAUGGGCUUCCUGCCUUCUGAGCCCAUAUGCGUAAGUUUGGGCCUCAGCCGUUUUAAUAACUAAUAAUAAUAAUAAUACGAACAUUUAUUAUUUUAUAUAUUCCUUCCUUCGCCAGGAGAAGUUCUCCUUCAAUUUCUUCUUGGAGCUAAAUCUGUUGACUGUUGUCUGUUGGCUCGAAUCGAUCUCAAUUCAGCAAGAAAGGAUGCUUGCUAUGAACAUGAUUUCCAUUCCGUUUAGCUAUUCAUUUACCAGUUUCUUUUCUUUUAUCCGAAACAUGAUUUCAUUCCCUUGCUGCCAUUUGUGAUUCGGGGUAAUUAUUAACACUAAGUGAAAGGCGAAGUGCCUGCAGGGUGUUCGACGGAAUGCUUCUGAGUAGUUUGUUUUUGUUUUCUUUUGGUUGGAGUAUAAUACAGGGAACCCGCAUAAUGGUGGGGUGCUUUCCUUCGUCGCCGAAGAAAUUGGCAAUGACAGUGGCCCUGUUCGCAGGAUCAGCCGCGAUUACGCGGUGCACCUGUCCUAUCUGAAUGUUGCUCCUCAACGAGAGCGUACUAUAGCUCGGGACGAGUUCGUCAAGGAAAGGAUGAGACAGAGGCAUGGCUAUGGGAAAUAGUAUUGAGUCCCUGAAACUUGGGACCCUUUUUAAAGCUCUACUACUGAACUUGUUUAUGUUCAGUGAGUGGCCUUUUUCUGUUAUUUAAAGCUUAUGCUGCCAAUGUGUUUUAGACUUAAGUGUGCGAGUGUGAUGAAUUUGAAGCUUACUCUUUUGUAUUGCUAACUUUAAAUUUUUGUUUACCCCUUCAAAAUGUCAUAAAAACUAAUAAUGAACCUCAACUCAAGUUAUUGGAAUAAAUGAUUAUCCAUAUGAUCUAAUUCAAGAGAGAAGAGACCAGCUUCAUCAGCCGAACC